rnacentral:rRNA from 1 species
GUAGCUUGCUACACCAUAGACCUGUGAGUUGCGAACGGGUGAGUAACGCGUAUGUAACCUGCCUGGUAAGCGGGGGAUAACUAUUGGAAACGAUAGCUAAUCCGCAUAAUAUUAAUUAUUGCAUGAUAAUUAAUUGAAAGGUGCAAUUGCACCACUACCAGAUGGACCUGCGUUGUAUUAGCUAGUAGGUGAGGUAACGGCUCACCUAGGCGACGAUACAUAGCCGACCUGAGAGGGUGAUCGGCCACACUGGGACUGAGACACGGCCCAGACUCCUACGGGAGGCAGCAGUAGGGAAUCUUCGGCAAUGGACGAAAGUCUGACCGAGCAACGCCGCGUGAGUGAAGAAGGUUUUCGGAUCGUAAAGCUCUGUUGUAAGAGAAGAACCGGGUGUGAGACGU